UCCACACCUCACCAAAUGUUUCUGGGGAUGUGGCCAAAACGUGGGGAAAUUAACACGCCAUCUGCAUUUAGGCUCUAUUUUGGCUUGUUUGUUCAUGAAAAGGAUUUUUCCACACAGAGGACAUCAGAGAAGAUUACAUCUUAAUUGGAGACAUUACGUACCAUCUCAAGGACCAGAUUUUUAUGGAUAAAUUAUGAAAAACACUUACAUGAAGUUUAAAAUGCUUGUGUUUAACGGUGCUAUUGAAAAACCCCGUCUCAGAUACUUCUACUCAAGAACAAUCUGGCAACCUCAGAGGCCUGAACUACAUGCAGAUCAUUUGCAUAUCUGAAUGGGGCCAGAAAAUCAACUGCAUAAGCUGUCUCUGAAUAUGAGUAACGUUCCCUGUGUAAGUACUGACAUGACUUUUCACCAACUCUGAAUACGGCCCAUAGUGAAGUACAGAAGACACAAAGCACUGCUGGUGUAGCAUGUUACUCCUCUGCACAUUGAGACAAGACUGUAUUUAUGAAGGAGCGGUAAAAAUAAAAGCAUUGUUAUUCAA